rnacentral:rRNA from 1 species
CAGCCGCCGCGGUAAUACGGAGGGAGCUAGCGUUGUUCGGAAUUACUGGGCGUAAAGCGCGCGUAGGCGGUUACUCAAGUCAGAGGUGAAAGCCCGGGGCUCAACCCCGGAACUGCCUUUGAAACUAGGUGACUAGAAUCUUGGAGAGGUCAGUGGAAUUCCGAGUGUAGAGGUGAAAUUCGUAGAUAUUCGGAAGAACACCAGUGGCGAAGGCGACUGACUGGACAAGUAUUGACGCUGAGGUGCGAAAGCGUGGGGAGCAAACAGGAUUAGAGACCCCUGUAGUCCCUGUCUCUUAUAC